rnacentral:rRNA from 1 species
GACGAACGCUGGCGGCGUGCUUAACACAUGCAAGUCGAACGGUAAGGCCCUUCGGGGUACACGAGUGGCGAACGGGUGAGUAACACGUGGGUGAUCUGCCCUGCACUUCGGGAUAAGCCUGGGAAACUGGGUCUAAUACCGGAUAGGACUCCGGACUGCAUGGUCUGGGGUGGAAAGCUUUUGCGGUGGGGGAUGGGCCCGCGGCCUAUCAGCUUGUUGGUGGGGGGAUGGCCUACCAAGGCGACGACGGGUAGCCGGCCUGAGAGGGUGACCGGCCACACUGGGACUGAGAUACGGCCCAGACUCCUACGGGAGGCAGCAGUGGGGAAUAUUGCACAAUGGGCGCAAGCCUGAUGCAGCGACGCCGCGUGAGGGAUGACGGCCUUCGGGUUGUAAACCUCUUUCAGCAUCGACGAAGCGGAAGUGACGGUAGGUGCAGAAGAAGGACCGGCCAACUACGUGCCAGCCGCCGCCGUAA